ensembl:misc_RNA Metazoa_SRP Metazoan signal recognition particle RNA
GCCGGGUGUGGUGGCUCACGCCUGUAAUCCCAGCACCUUGGGAGGCCGAGAUGGGUGGAUCACCUGAGGUCAGGAAUUCGAGGCCAGCCUGGCCAACAUGGUGAAACCCUGUCUCUA